AUUCAGGUAGCUUAAUUUUUAAAGUUGAUCAUUGAAAAUGAUUAGAUACAGUUUAUGUUUUGGAUA
rnacentral:tRNA from 1 species